rnacentral:tRNA from 1 species
GUCCAGGGUAGCCUAGUGGACAUGGCAUCUGCCCGGUAAUCGGAACAUUGUGGGUUCGAUUCCCAUCACUGGACA